UAACCUGAUGAGUCCAAGUAUACGCUGUGUUCUUUCAGACUUACGAUUGAAGAAACAAAUAUUUCACCUUGGAGAACUGAGAU
rfam:Lasallia pustulata genome assembly, contig: scaffold600_size90609